GACGAACGCUGGCGGCGUGCUUAACACAUGCAAGUCGAACGGAAAGGCCCUGCUUUUGUGGGGUUCUCGAUUGGCGAACGGGUGAGUAACACGUGAGUAACAUGCCCUUGACUUUGGGAUAACUUCAGGAGACUGGGGCUAAUAUCGGGUAGGAGCUCCUGCUGCGUGGGGGGGGUUGGAAAGUUUCGGCGGUUGUGGAUGGACUCGCUGGUUAUCAGCUUGUUUGUGGGGUAGGUGCGUACAAAGGCUUUGACGGGUAGCCGGCCUGGGAGGGUGACCGGGCACAUUGGGACUGAGAUACGGCCCAGUAUCCUACGGGAGGCAACGGUGGGGAACAUUGCACAACGGGCGGAAGCCUGAUGCAGCAAUGCCGCGUGCGGGAUGCCGGCCUUCGGGUUGUAAACAGAUUUCGAAUGAGCCGAAGAGUGAGUGACGGUAAUGGGUAAAGAAGCACCGGCUAACUACGUG
rnacentral:rRNA from 1 species